GACAAUCCAAAUAUUACGCGUUUGAUGUGCUUGGUAAUGGUUAUUGGUUGGUCUCUCGCAAUCUUAACCCUUUUCCACCAUGUCAGAUACCCAGCCACACCACCACGCCAAUUCGCGCAAACAAAUCAAUUCAUCCGUUAAUUGACGCUCCAUUCCUUUCGAUUUCUUUCUGUUCGGUUCGAUUUGGCUUUAUAUCUAUAUUAUCUCCCUCCUUUUUUGGAUCAACAUUUUCAUGCACGAAUUUCAUUUUGUGCUUUUUACAAUGUCGCUCAUGCAUGAAUCGUGAUAGAUAAAUAUGUGUUAGGCAAUGCUUAUUGUGGCUAGUUGUUAGAAGAUUUGGAAUAAGGGUAUUAGUACAAGAGAAUUGCUGUUUGUGUUUUCAUCUAUGUUUGGAGGCGCUGCCAUUCCCGCUCAUAGUCCACACUUACGCAAAUCUGGGAGCAGACCUGUUGUUUAUGAUCUUGAUGACAAUGAGGUGGAAAAUGGUGUUGAGGAAGGUUUAUUGCAUCCCGUGGAGGCAGCUGAUUCAAAGAGUGGUACAAUACCAGUGAGUGCAGCUGCAAUAAUGCCCUCGCCCAUUUUGUUGCUGAGAUUCAAGGUACUCUUGUUCCUUAUGUGGGGCUUCAUCUGUUGCAAGAUUGGAUGGGAUUCUGUCAUGAGAAUGAGUGCAGACAAGCGGGAUUUAUUUCUAUAUGAAGCAUUUUUGUAUUUUAACCCUCUUCUUCUUACGGCUUUGAUGGUGUGGCUGUGGGGAAUCAAUUUAUGGUUUUUUGCUCAGGGUGGAGUCAAUUAUGCAAAAAUAUUUGAUCUUGAUCAAAAUCAUCUGACUCACCGAGAAAUAUGGAAGUGUGCCACAUGGAUGACAAUUAUUGUUCCAACCAGUAUGACAGCAUAUAUUUAUCUUUAUUCUCAUGGAGAGGUCUCAUAUGCUGCAUCGCAACCAGUGCUCUUAUAUGCUGCUGUUGUAAUGGUUUUGAUAUUCCCCUAUGAUAUCUUUUAUUUUUCACCUAGAUAUUACUUCUUAAGGACACUCUGGCGAAUAGUUCUCCCGGUACAGGUGAUAUCAUUCUCCGAUUUUUUCUUGGCUGAUAUUUUAACUUCCAUGGCAAAGGUCUUUUCUGAUUUGGAGCGUUCAGUAUGUAGAAUGGUCCAUCGACAGGUUGCCACAAUUGCUUGGUUAGAAGCUGAUUCUGUUUGUGGCAGUCACUCUGUUGCAAUCCCUUUAGUUCUUGUUUUGCCUUAUCUUUUCCGCUUAAACCAGUGUCUCCGGCAGUACAAAGAUACUGGAGAGAAAACUACUCUUCUGAAUGCUUUAAAAUAUUCAACAGCAGUGCCUGUGAUUUUUCUUUCUGCCCUUAAAUAUCACGUCUUCCCUGAUAGGUGGACAAACUUUUAUAGGCCUCUCUGGCUUCUGUCAAGUGUUGUGAACUCAUCAUACUCUUUCUACUGGGAUGUGACUCGAGAUUGGGACCUAAGUGGAUUCACUCGAAUAUUCAAGUUCAGCAAGCCACAUCUGUUCUCACAUAUGUUACAUGGAAGGAGAUGGGUUUACUUUUGGGUGAUUGGAAGCAAUCUGAUUUUGCGUUGCACAUGGACAUAUAAGCUGUCUGCCCAUCUUCGUCAUAAUUACUUCACAGUGUUCAUAAUUGCUGCUUUGGAGAUUUUCCGCCGCUUCCAGUGGAUCUUUUUCCGGGUUGAAAAUGAGUGGAACAAGAUGAAUUCCAAAUCAUACCCACAGCUCGCAAUGGGUGAAAUCUCAAAUGAUGAAGAGAAAUUACUUCAUUCCAUUAACCACAGUGUAUAGGCUAGAGAACAGUAUGAUGCUUUGCCAUUGUCAUACAAGGUAUAUUUCAAAUGUUUUGAUGAUAGGGGGUCUCCAUUCCUUUUGUUCAUUCCAUUGGUUUCCCUUCGGUUAUAAAUGUCAUUCUUUAUUCACAAAAAGAACAGUCUAUUCUUCCUGUGCUCUUAAGUAAUAUCUUGUCCUACACGGUAACAAUUAUAUCAUGUAUAUCAAGCCUUCUGGUUAAUAGCAUCGUUUAUAUAUGGAGACCAGUUGUAUCCACAGUAUCUCUCAGGUGUUCAUUACGUUCUGAAAAAUCUGAUAUCGUAUAACGGAACAAGCCUUAAAUAUAGUAGUAUUGAUAGUCUAUCUGGGUUGAAAGUUGGCUGCAUGGCACAUCCUUUACCAAUUCUACAAGCCAACACCAGCAAAAUUGGACUUUCCCCUUGCUUUUUGGCCAGUAGCCAUCAUUUUAUACCAUUAUAAACCAGCUGAAGUAACGCUAUUAUGUAAUGACUUAAUCACUGUUUCGACAUUUAUGCCUCUAAAAUGUCCUUCGUGGGGGCCUAGAAUUUGCAGGGUACGAAGACGGACCUCCAGUUUUGUUUACACACGAACCAGCCAUGCCACGUUCACGUUGCCAGACUGUAUAUUCUUAGGCAUCGCUUGUUUUUUUCCUAAGACAAGCCACAUAUUAUAGGUGGGGACCCAUGUUAAAGAAUAUUAGUGGCUCGAGAUUUCCAAAGAAAAGGAUGCUAAACUUUCAAUCGCAAUCUUUAAACAUCGUUAGUGAUAGAGCCACACACCUCAGCCAUAUAGUGAGUGGUUCCUCCAAACUAGAUAACAAGCAGGGUUCUAGUUAACGCCCUCUUAGCCUUUAACCACUCAAAUUGCAACCAUGAGCAUUAAUAGAUGUAUCUUCCUCUGGUGAAACCCCCGCGAUGGCCUAAAUGUUAACAACAGGUGAAUACAGCAACCAUAGCCGGCAGCUGCAGCCGGAAACAAGCCCGGCCGAGCUGAACUUGCCGAGAGUGCUUUCUGUGCUGUCUUCCACGUUAGAAAAGUUGGUUGCUCGUAAUGAAAAGCUCGUGGAUGUCCUAAACCAGCAGCUAGAUGGUCUGAGCAUUGGCUCAGUAAGAGUCGGGAAGAGCUUGAAUGCAUUUCAUGGCGUAAGAGCACCAAGCAUAAGCAUACCUAAGUACCUGGAGAGGAUAUACAAAUACACUAAUUGUAGCCCUUCAUGUUUCGUGGUUGGCUAUGUUUAUAUAGACAGGUUGGCACAUCGGCACCCUGAUUCUCUUGUCACAUCCUUGAAUGUGCACAGAUUGUUAGUUACCAGUGUCAUGGUCGCUUCCAAGAUGCUGGAUGAUGAACAUUAUAACAACGCGGUAUAUGCUAGAAUAGGAGGAGUGAGCAAUGCUGAAUUGAACAAGCUUGAAUUGGAAUUACUCUUUCUGUUGGAUUAUAGAGUUAUGGUAAGCUCUCGGGUUUUUGAGAGCUACUGUUUUCACUUAGAAAAAGAGAUGAUUGUCAAUGGCACGGGCCUGAAAAUUGAAAGGGAAUUGUCACCAAAGGCUAUAGAUUACCAUGAAGCUGAAAUAUCAGUUGAAGAUAAACGAAGCUCUUCCCCACCUCAAAUUGUGGAUUGUGGACUAACCUGAGUCUUUGGUUGUUUGUCAAUUUUAGGCCCCAUGCCCUCCUUAGUCCUUCCCUUCCCCUUCAUGAUUGGGCAAUUAUUGCAUUAUUCAUGGCCCAAUUUCGUUUCUUGUAUUUCAUGUCCAUGUCAAAGCUUGUGACACCUUUUUCCUUCCUGCAGAAAAAGUACGAGACUGAUAUGUAUGAUUCAUAAGAAGUACAUCAAUU